rnacentral:rRNA from 1 species
UCAACUGUCGACUGUGGCAUAGACGCCCACAGUGGUUUUGACGGGUAACGGGGAAUCAGGGUUCGAUUCCGGAGAGGGAGCCUGAGAAACGGCUACCACUUCUAAGGAAGGCAGCAGGCACGCAAAUUACCCACUGGUCGAAGACCGAGGUAGUGACGAAAAAUAACGAUACCAGACUCAUCCGAGGCCUGGUAAUCGGAAUGAGUACACUUUAAAGCCUUUAACGAGGAACAAUUGGAGGGCAAGUCUGGUGCCAGCAGCCGCGGUAAUUCCAGCUCCAAUAGCGUAUAUUAAUGUUGUUGCGGUUAAAAAGCUCGUAGUUGGAUCUCGGCGGGCAGGGGACGGUUCGUUAUUCGACGCUACUGUCCCAUUUGCCCGUGUUUUUGGGCGGAGGUUUCGGGGUGCUCUUAACCGAGUGUCCCGAGGCGCCGUCCGGUUUACUUUGAAAAAAUUAGAGUGCUCAGCGCAGGCUUUCCACGCUUGAAUAUUUGUGCAUGGAAUAAUGGAAUAGGACGUCGUUUCUAUUUUGUUGGUUUUGAGAAAUCGACGUAAUGAUCAAUAGGGACAGUCGGGGGCAUUAGUAUUCAGGCGACAGAGGUGAAAUUCUUGGACCGCCUGAAGACUCACUACUGCGAAGGCAUUUGCCAAGAAUGUUUUCAUUAAUCAAGAACGAAAGUUAGAGGUUCGAAGGCGAUCAGAUACCGCCCUAGUUCUAACCAUAAACGAUGCCAGCUAGCGAUCCGAGGACGUUUUUAUUGUAGGCUCCUCGGGAAGCUUCCGGGAAACCAAAGCUUUUGGGUUCCGGGGGAAGUAUGGUUGCAAAGCUGAAACUUAAAGGAAUUGACGGAAGGGCACCACCAGGAGUGGAGCCUGCGGCUUAAUUUGACUCAACACGGGAAAUCUCACCAGGCCCGGACACUGGCAGGAUUGACAGAUUGAGAGCUCUUUCUCGAUUCGGUGGGUGGUGGUGCAUGCCCGUUCUU